AGAGUGUCUCUUUUGGGGAACAGCUGGAGGUUGCAAACAUGGUCGAGAAAGAACUCGCAGCUGAGACCCAUCUCAGGAGGUGCCUGUCUCCUCCAGGGCCACUCAACACAUCCAAUACUGUGACACAGGUAGGCUAGCCUCCUUCUCCUCUUUCCACCCUGUCUUUAGGAUCAUCUCCAGACAUCGAAGGGCAUCAUUAUCACGGAUAAGAACACAGAUGCUGGGGCUGGAGAGAUGGCGCAGAGGUUAAGAGCUGGCACUAAUCUUUCAGAGGACUGGAGUUUGGUUCCCAUCCCCAUGUUGGGCAGAUCAUGACGACCUGUGACUACAGCUUCAGAGGGCCUAGAACCUUCUUCUGGAGACCCUGCAUGCUCUGCCUUCAUGUGCUCCUUCCCCUAAGACACAGACGUAAGCACACAAUCAAUUUAUAACGAAAAAAAAAAAAACAAAACACAGUCACUGGUUCUGUGUGGCU
ensembl:processed_transcript 1810053B23Rik RIKEN cDNA 1810053B23 gene